AACGUGGGACACGAGCGUUAUCCGGAGUUAUUGGGCGUAAAGCGCGUGUAGGCGGCUUUGCAAGUCGGGUGUGAAAUCCCUCAGCUCAACUGAGGAAGUGCGCCCGAAACUGCAGAGCUCGAGUGCCGGAGAGGGUGGCGGAAUUCCCCAAGUAGAGGUGAAAUUCGUAGAUAUGGGGAGGAACACCGGUGGCGAAGGCGGCCACCUGGCCGGUAACUGACGCUGAGACGCGAAAGCGUGGGUAGCAAACAGG
rnacentral:rRNA from 1 species